GACGAACGCUGGCGGCGUGCCUAAUACAUGCAAGUCGAACGGUCUUUUCUAUGGAAGCUUGCUUCCGCUGAGAAGAUAGUGGCGAACGGGUGAGUAACACGUGGGUAACCUGCCCAUAAGAGGGGGAUAACAUCCGGAAACGGGUGCUAAUACCGCAUAGUUUUCUUGAUCGCAUGAUUGAGAAAGGAAAGACGGCCUUUGUGCUGUCGCUUAUGGAUGGACCCGCGGCGUAUUAGUUAGUUGGUGAGGUAACGGCUCACCAAGACGAUGAUACGUAGCCGACCUGAGAGGGUGAUCGGCCACAUUGGGACUGAGACACGGCCCAAACUCCUACGGGAGGCAGCAGUAGGGAAUCUUCCGCAAUGGACGAAAGUCUGACGGAGCAACGCCGCGUGAGUGAAGAAGGUUUUCGGAUCGUAAAACUCUGUUGUCAGAGAAGAACAAGUUGGAGAGUAACUGCUCCAGCCUUGACGGUAUCUGACCAGAAAGCCACGGCUAACU
rnacentral:rRNA from 1 species